rnacentral:misc_RNA from 1 species
AAAUGCGAUAAGUAGUGUGAAUUGCAGAAUUCAGUGAAUCAUCGAAUCUUUGAACGCACAUUGCGCCCUUUGGUAUUCCUUAGGGCAUGCCUGUUCGAGCGUCAUCUAAACCCUCAAGCCCUGCUUGGUGUUGGGUGCCUGUCCCGCCUCCGCGCGCGGACUCACCUCAAAUCCAUUGGCGGCCCCCGCGUCGGCCACGAGCGCAGCAGAAACGCGAACUCGUGAGCCCGCCCGGGCGGCUCCCAGAAGCUACACCCACCCAGUUUGACCUCGGAUCAGGUAGGGAUACCCGCUGAACUUAAGC